AGGCGCGUAGCUCAGUGGGAGAGCACUACACUGACACUGUAGUGGUCGGCGGUUCAAAUCCGCCCGUGCCUACCA
rnacentral:tRNA from 1 species